GUGGUAGGAGACCUUGUGCAGGAGUAUUCCCAAGGGCAAAUGUUAACCAGACUGGAACCCAAAGGGCCUCGGGAUCUCUACUGGCUCCCUUAGUGGGCGACGUCUGGCUCUACGGACUCCUUCACGCAACAGGUAGUAUUGCAGUGGAUUUGGCCACAGAUCCUCUUUAAUAAUCUCAGCAAUUUUGUCGGACUCUGGAAGGCUGUGGUCUGAAAACCAGGUGAAGAAGCUGCAGAUGAGGUCUUGGUUUCUGCGAAUGAAGGACUGGGGUUCAUGCCCCCUGCGCCAUAUAAUUGGAGUAGAAAGGGACACCACCCGGCCGGAGGAUCUUACCUCAUAUUCCUUGACAAUCAGCUUGUUUCUGAAGUAGGGGUUUCUUCUAAAGAAGAACUUGAACUUGCAGCCGGUUCUAGGGUGUCUGAGUUCCUUCACCUCUAAAUUGGUUAUGUACCUUAACAUCUCUGCAUCUUGGCCCCUAAUCAUGGCGGACAACUGGGGAUGGUUUCGAAAAGCCGUCAUCCAGAAGCCCGGGAUAUUCUGAAUGAUGUAGUUCCUCCGCUCCAGGUAGUGUCGACGCAUCCGCCCAAACUUGUGCUCCAGCUGUUGGAAGGCCCUGUCGGCCUGAGCAUUCACAGUGUCCAGUUCCAGCUGGAUGGCCUCCAGAGGGUCCAUGCGGAGAGCCUCAUGCAGAGGCCACUUCUAUUUCUUCACCUUCCGGCAGCUGCUCCUCUACCUCCAUCUGCUCCUCCACUACCUCCUUCUCCGCCAGGCCUUCCUUCACCACCACCUCAGCGCUCUCCCCCUCAGCCACGGCUGCUGAGACAGUGGCGCACUUUCCUGUCUUCACCUCCUCGGUGUCGUUCUCGGCCCCCGCCCCCGCCGGCAGCUCAGACGCGGAUCUCUCGGCGCCAUAGAUUUCUAGGGCCUUCUCUCCACCCUGAACGCCCUUUUUCAAGCUGCGGUCCACUGCCACCACCACCACAGAAGCGGCUGCCAGGCCCUCAGCGGGAGGCUGGCCCUCUUCCUGCCCGGCUUUGAUCGCCACAUGACCGCGACCCCCAAUAACUCGGAUCUGGGGAGUACUGCCACGGCCCGCGGGAUCCUGAG
rnacentral:lncRNA from 1 species